rnacentral:rRNA from 1 species
UUUAGUUGGUGGAGCGAUUUGUCUGGUUAAUUCCGAUAACGAACGAGACUCUAGCCUACUAAAUAGUUCGGGGAUCCUCUAUCGAGUCCCCGUCAACUUCUUAGAGGGACAAGUGGCGCUUAGCCACACGAGAUUGAGCAAUAACAGGUCUGUGAUGCCCUUAGAUGUUCGGGGCCGCACAUGCGCUACACUGAAUGGAUCAGCGUGCGUCUCGCCUGACCCGAGAGGGUUGGGAAACCCGUUGAACCCCAUUCGUGCUAGGGAUUGGGGCUUGCAAUUGUUCCCCAUGAACGAGGAAUUCCCAGUAAGCGCGAGUCAUCAGCUCGCGUUGAUUACGUCCCUGCCCUUUGUACACACCGCCCGUCGCUAAAUC